rnacentral:rRNA from 1 species
UACGUAGGUGGCAAGCGUUGUUCGGAAUUACUGGGCGUAAAGGGCGCGUAGGCGGCCUUCUAAGUCGAACGUGAAAUCCCCGGGCUCAACCCGGGAACUGCGUCCGAUACUGGAAGGCUUGAAUCCGGGAGAGGGAUGUGGAAUUCCAGGUGUAGCGGUGAAAUGCGUAGAUAUCUGGAGGAACACCGGUGGCGAAGGCGACAUCCUGGACCGGUAUUGACGCUGAGGCGCGAAAGCCAGGGGAGCAAACGGG